rnacentral:lncRNA from 1 species
AUCCGCGCCUCUUCGAGGUGGCCCUCUGGUCCGGCUUUAGAACUCUGCGGUUUUGUGGAGCUCGAGAGUCCGGGACAAGGUAGACGCAGGAUAUUGACCUUUUUAUUUUUAACUGCAUUUUCAGUUUGGAGGUUGUAAAAUAGGUAUAACAUUUAAGAAAAAAAAUUGAAAGGUGAGUGGAGGGAAAACCCGUAACUCCUUAAACUUUAAAAACUUAUUUCUCUGUUCCCUUAUUUAUUUUAUUUAUUUAUUUAUUUAUUUAUUUAUUUAUUUUGCCGAGUGCUGCCAAUUCUUUGAAAAUAUGAAGCUGGAUGUGGUGGGAAGAACAAGCGUUUUGGCACAAAAAGAUGAUUAAUUGGAUAAACUAUAAAUGGAAAAUGUGGGUGGGCGCUGCAAUUUAGAGGCUUGGGGUCUACUACCUGGUGAAAGGAUUAACAUGGGAAGCUAGUUACGUUUUUGUUUCUUGAGUAUCUUCUGUAAUUAUGGAACUAAAGCCUAUCUGGAAGAGACACAGCUGGUGUAUAUGUAUGGUCCACCAUUCUCUUUAUUAUGUGAGUUCAGUUUUAAUUUAUGCAUUUCAUCUAGUAUGACAUAAACGUUUCCACGCUGCUUCCUCACAAUUUUAACAUUUAAUGGUGAGAUAAAAUUCCAUCCAUUAUUGAUGCCUCAGCCAAAGUAAUUGUCCCUCUGCUGCACAAUGCAAAGUUUUUAAGUUUUACUAUGAAAAUAAUAUUGUAAAGAGUAUCUUUUGUGUGUUUGGCUUUUUAAAUCUGUUGAAUUAUUUUGUUUGUAUAAUUUUCCUGAACUAGGAAUUUGGGGUCAAAAUAUUCCAAAACAUUUUAAUAACUAUAAAUGAUGUUGCUUUCCAAAAUGAACAAGCUUACAGCACUAUCAGAAUACACAACACCAAACCAUACCAUUUUUUUUCCUUUAAAUUCUUUGGUAUGAAAUGUUACCCCUAGGUAACUAUACUUAUAAUUCUUUGGUUACUAUCAAGAUCUGAUGUCUUUCUUGUGUUUCUAAACUAUCUCUGUGUCCUCUGAUGUAAAUUCUUUGUUUAUAUAUUUAUGUUUUGCAUAUGAAUUUGAAUAAUAUAUUUAUAAAUAAGUAACAUUAGCCUUUGCCAUAUUUUAUGCUAUUGCUUUUCCCAUUCUCUUGUCUCUCUUUUCCUUUUAUUUGUUUCUUUUGCUAUUGCACUUUGUGAGAGGUUUCAUGCUAUUUAGUCAAAUUUAGGUUUUCCGUUACGUGAAUCCUAGAAAGUAAAUACACUGCCAGAAUAUCUUCCAUGUAUUCAUUAAUUCAACAGAUAUCUAUUGGAUGCUGAUGAUUAUGAAACAAAGUAGCAAAGAUAAGAAGCCAUUUGCUCAUUCUGCUCCUUUGCCAGCAAUAUUUCACAAAGCCCCUGACUCAUUGACUGUGAGCAGCCUUGUGGAAGAAUGCCUUGAAGACCAUAAGCAGGAUAGGGAAUAGGUUUGCACAUCUCUUGCCUGAAUCACUGAAUUUUUACAAAAGGUAAGUUUGGUGAUCCUAGCCCUUGCCUCUUCCUGUACAUAAGAUAAUGUCUGACAAGAUUAAUGAUUAUGCCUCAAAUUCAUGACCAGAUGUAACUUCAUACCCACACUUUGAUGAGACUUUACUUGUAUUAACCCAUUUUCAUACUGCUAUGAAGAAAUACCCAAGACUGCAUAAUUUCUAAAGAAAAAGGCUUAGUGGACUCACAGUUCCACAUGGCUGGGGAAGCCUCACAAUCAUGGUAGAAGAUGAAGAAGGAGCAAAGGCACAUCUUACAUGGCAGCAGGUGAGAGAGCAUGUGCAGAGGAACUACCCUUUAUAAAACCAUCAGAGGCCAGGUGCAGUGGCUCACACCUGUAAUCCUAGCACUUUGGGAGGCCGAGGCAGGCAGAUCAUCUGAGGUCAGGCAUUCAAGACCAGCCUGGCCAACAUGGCAAAACCCCAUGUUUCAAAAUUAGCUCAGUGUGGGGGCACAUGCCUGUAAUACCAGCUACUAGGGAGGCUGAGGCAGGAGAAUCGCUUGAACCUGGGAGGCAGAGGUUGCAGUGAGCCAAGAUCACGCUACUGUACUCCAGCCUGGGCAACAGAGCCAGACUUUGUCUCAAAAAAUAAAAUGAAAUAAAAUAAAAAUAAAUAAAUAGAUAGAUAAAUAAAACCAUCAGAGCUCGUGAGAACUCACUACCAUGACAACAUGAGGGUAACUGAUCCCAUAAUUAAAUUACUUCCCAUCAGGUCCCUCCCUUGACACUUGGGGAUUAUGGGAGCUACAAUUCAAGAUGAGAUUUGGGUUGGGACACAGCCAAACCAUAUCAUUCCACCCUGGCCCCUCCAAAAUCUCCUGUCCUCACAUUUCAAAAGCAAUCAUGCCUUACCAGCAGUCCCCCAAAGUCUUAACUCAUUUCAGCAUUAACUCAAAAGUCUACAGUCCAAAGUCUCAUCUGAGACAAGGCAAGUCCCUUCUGCCUAUGAGCUUGUAAAAUCAUAAGCAAGUUAAGUUACUUCCUAAAUACAAUGGGGGUACAAGCAUUGGGUAAAUACACCCAUUCCAAAUGGGAGAAAUAGGCCAAAAUGAAGGGACUACAGGGCCCAUGCAAGUCCAAAAUCCAGCAGGGCAGUCAAAUCUUAAAGCUCCAAAAUGAUCUGCUUUGACUCCGUGUCUCACAUCCAGUUCACGUUGAUACAAGAGGUAGGUUGCCAUGGUCUUGGGCAGCUCUGCCCCUGUGGCUUUGCAAGAUACAGCCUCCUUCCCAGCUGCUUUAACAGGCUGGCAUUGAGUGUCUCUGGCUUUCCCAGGCAUAUGCUGCAAGCUGUUGGUGGAUCUACCAUCCUGGGGUCUGGAGGAUGGUGGCCCUCUUCUCACAGCUCCACUAGGCACUGCCCCAGUGGGGACUCUGUGUGGGGGAUCCCACCCCACAUUUCCCUUCUGCAUUGCCCUUCUGCCUUAGCAGAGGUCGUGCAUGAGGGCCCUGCCCCUGCAGCACACCUCUGCCUGAACAUCCGGGUGUUUCCAUACAUCCUCUGAAAUCUAGGCAGGGUUCCCAAACCUCAAUUCUUGACUUCCGUGCACCCACAGUCCCAAUAUCACAUGUGAGCAGCCUGAGACUGCACAAAGCAGCAAGGCCCUGGGCCCAGCCCAUAAACCCAUUUUUCCUCCUUGGCCUCCUGGCUUGUGAUGAGAGGGACUUCCAGGAAGACCUCUUACAUGCCCUGGAGACAUUUUUCCCAUUGUCGUGGUAAUUAACAUGUGGCUUCUUGUUACUUAUGCAAAUUUCUGCAGCAGGCUUGAAUUUCUCCGCAAAAAAUGGGUUUUUCUUUUCUAUCACGUCAUCAGGCUGCAAGUUUUCCUUUUAUGCUCUGCUUCCUCUUGAACGCUUUGCCACUUAGAAAUUUCUUCCCUCAGGUACCCUAAAUCAUCUCUCUAAAGUUCAAAGUUCCACAGAUAACUAGGGCAGGGGCAAAAUGCCACCAGUCUCUUUGCUAAAGCAUAGCAAGAGUGACCUUUAUUCCAUUUCCCAACAAGUUCCUCAUCUCCAUCUGAGACCACCUCAGCCUGGACUUCUUUGUCCGUAUCCCUAUUAGCCUUCUGAUCAAAGCCAUUCAACAAGUCUCUAGGAAGUUCCAAACUUUCCUACAUCUUUCUGUCUUCUGAGCCCUCCAAGUCUCUAGGAAGUUCCAGAGUUUCCCACAUUUUCCUGUCUUCUUCUGAGCCCUCCAAACUGUUCCAACCUCUGCCUGUUACCCUGUUCCAAAGUUGCUUCAACAUUUUCUGUUAACCUUAUAGCAGAGCCCCACUACCUCAGUUCCAAUUUACUGUAUUAGUCCAUUUUCAUACUACUGUGAAGAAAUAGCCAAGACUGGGUAAUUUAUAAAGAAAAAGAGGUUCAGUGGACUCACAGUUCCACAUGGCUGGGGAGGCCUCACAAUCGUGACAGAAGGCAAAGGAGGAGCAAAGACACAUCUUACCUGGCAGCAAGGCAAGAGAGAGAGCAUGUGCGGAGGAACUGCCCUUUAUGAAACCAUCAGAUUUCCUGAGAUUUAUUCACUAUCAUGAGACCAGCAGGGGAAAAACUUGCCCCCAUGAUUAAAUUACUUCCCACCGGGUCCUACCAUUGACACAUGGGGAUUAUGGGAGCUACAAUUCAAGAUGAGAUUUGAGUGGGGACACAGCCAAACCAUGUCAUUAAUGUAAUUUCUGAGCACAUUUGAUGUAACUUCUUAACACAUGCAGAGCAACCACCACCUAUGUUUAAGCUAUGGGGUGAAUCAAUGCUUUGCAGCAAUAUAACAAACUCUUUGAAAGAUUCUCCCAGGUUGCAGUACUCAGUAGGACUUCUGAAUAAAAUUAACUUUAAUUAUUUAAAAGCCUGUUUUUUUUUCUUUAGUUGACAUAACAUACCAGGAUAUUGUAGCUGGAAAUACAUAGGAGGUUCUUGCUCUCACGAACCUUACAUUCCAGUAAGGAAAACAGACAAUAAGAAAAAAGAAAAAUGAAUACAAUAAAUUCUCAUGGUGAUACAAAUAAGGUAAGAUGACAGAAACUGAAGGGAGAGGGAGACACUACUUCAGUGAGGUGGUCAGUGAAAACCUCUCUGCAAAGGUGGUGUGAAAUCUGAGACCUGAAUGACAAGAAAGAACUAGCGAUGCAAACAUCUGCGGGUGGCACAUUUCUAAUAUUUAUUUUUUACUAGUUUUAUUUUGUGUUAAUUUUACGUUUAACUAUCUGGAAUAUAUUUUGGUACAGGAGUCCCCCUUAUCCAAGGGGGAUAUGUAUCAAGCCCCCCAGUGGAUACCUGAAAUCACAGAUAGCGCUGAACCCUAUAUGUACUGUUUUUUCCUACAUAUAUGUAUCUAUGAUAAAGUUUAAUUUAUAAAUUAGGCAUAGUAAGAUAUUUACAAAAAUAAUAAUAAAAUUGAACAGUUAUAACAAUAUACUGUAUAAAUCUUAUGUGAAUGUGAUCUCUCUCUCUCUCAAAAUCUGCCAUACUUACCUAUUGCCAGACCACAGUUGACCAUGGCUAACUGAAAUCAUGGAAAGCAAAACCACAAAUAGGGAGGGCUACUGUAUGUUCUAUAAGAUAAUAUGUGAAUUGUCUAUUGCUACAUAACAAACCACCCAAAACUUUGUGAUGUGUCCAAGCCCAAGGAUGCAAGGUUUCCAAGCUUCCAGAUCCCAAGGAUACCAGGAAACAGGAUUCCCAGGAGGCCAUUGCUAUAAUGAUCUACCACUAUUUUUACCAAAACUGGUAUUUGUAUUAGGCUGUUCUCCCAUUGCUGUAAAGAAAUACCUGAGACUGGCUAAUUUGUAAAGAAAAGAGGUUCCAUAGGCUGUACAGGAAGCAUGAUGCUAGCAUCUUCUCAGCUUCUGGGGAAGCCUCAGGAAACUUACAAUCAUGGUGGAGGGCAAAGUGGGAGUCAGUACGUCACAUGGCCAGAGCAGUGAGAGAGGAGGGAGGUGAUACACACUUUUUAAAUGGCCAGAUGUCAGGAGAACUCACUAUCCUGAGGACAGUACCAAGGGAGAUGCUGCUAAACCAUUCAUGAGUAAUCCACUCAUCCACCACCACGAUCCAAUCACCUCCCACAAGGCCCCACCUCCAAUAUUGGGGAUCACAACCCCACAUGAGAUUUGGGUGGGGACACAGAUUCUGUAUCAGUGUUGUUAUUCAAAAAAUUUUGUACAUAGUCCUUACCUUUCCCAUUUCCUUGUGAUAUUCCUUUAUGAAAUUGUUAGAAGAAAUAGAAUAUUUCAGCUGGGUGCAGCCGGUAAUCCCAGCACUUUGGGAGGCUGAAGCGGGUGGACCAUAUGAGACCAGGAGUUCUGAGAUCAGCCUGGCCAACAUGGCGAAACCCCAUCUCUACUAAAAAUACAAAAAUUAGCUGGGCGUGGUGGUACAUGCCUAAAAUACCAGCUACUUGGGAGGCUGAGGCACGAGAAUUGUUUGAACCUGGGAGACAGAGGUUGCAGUGAGCCAAGAUCGCACCACCGCACUCCAACCUGGGCAACAGAGCGAAACUGUCUCAAAAAAAAGAAAAAGGCGGUAUUUCUAGGUAUUCUGUUCCUUCUACACAACUAUUUUGAGGCCAGUGCCAUGUUAAUUAUUGUUGCUUUUAAUAUGUCCUAAUAUUUAACCAUUAGGGCUAACCAUUUUGCUAUUUCAUUUUUCACAAAAUUAUUGAUUUCACCUGAAAAUUUUCUAACCAAAUUUUACACAAAUUUGUUCAAGUUAAAAGAAAUGCUACUUGGAUUUUUAGUGGGAUUAUACAAAAUCUAUUAAUAAGUUUAAUAGAAACUGACAUCUUUAUAUUUACUCUUCUCAUCUGAGAACAUGGAGAUCUAUUUAUUUGAGAGAUUUUAAAAAAUUAUUUUUGGCCAGGCACAGUGGCUCACGCCUGUAAUCCCAGCACUUUGGGAGGCUGAGGUGGGCAGAUUGCCUGAAGUCAGGAGUUCGAGACCAGACUGGCCAACAUGGUGAAACCCCAUCUCUACUAAAAAUACAAAAAAUUAGCUGGGCGUGGUGGUGUGCACCUGUAGUCCCAGCUACUCAGGAUGCUGAGGCAGGAGAAUUGCUUGAAUCCGGGAGGCGGAGGCUGCAGUAAGCCAAGAUUGCGCCACUGCACUCCAGCCUGGCGACAGAAUGAGACUCCAUCUCAAAAAAAAAAUUAUUUUCAGUAAAACUUUAAGCCACAGAUAUCGAUGAUUAAACUAUUUCCUAAGUAUUUUUAACAUUCGUUAAAACACUUAAUGUAUUUUUUUAUUUGGUAGGAAAUAUAUAAAAAUUAUUAUAUAUGUGUGUAAUAUCUGUAAUAUUCAUUAUAUAUUCAAAUCAGUUAUUGCCAAUAUACAGAUCAUAUUUCAUGUCCAACUGUUCUUUCAUUAUUUUAAUAAGAAUUAUUUUAAUAAUGAAAAUUAUUUAAAAACUUUUGUUCAACAGACUGGACUUUUCUAGUUCUACAAUGUCUGUCAAUUAUCUUUUUGUCCCUUUAUAGUAUUCUUUCUCGAUUUCUUUUUCACAGCUUGUUAUGGCUCAAUAUUUAUAAAGUUGAUAGCAAGUAGCUUUUUUUAUUUUGUUUUUGUUUUAAAAUUAAGGUUUUAGCAGCUUUUCAUUAAGUUUAUCAUUAGUUAUUGGAUUAGAAUACUCAUUAUCAUGCUAAAGAAGUAGAUUUGUAUUCCUCUUUAUUUGUUUGUUUGUUUGUUUCAUUAAACUGCUGAUUUUCAAGUGCAGGAUAGAGGCAGCUUCCUACCUAAAUGAAGGACAUGAGCAGUUGUAAACACGAUUCAAUAUUGGAAAUAAUAAUUCCUUUUAUCUGUGAGUAUAUGAGAUAGCAUUGUUUAUAAUUUGUAUGGUUAGAAUUGUUAACCAUAGUCUGCGUUUAAACUAGAACUCAAUUUAGUUAUUCAUUAAUUUAUUAUUGAGAUAUUCAUUAAGUGAGUUAAUACAAUUUGGCAACUAAAACCAAAUAUGAGUAUUUGAUUGAUCAAAAUUACACACACACACACACACACACACACACACACACGCAUAUAUAUUUCUGGCUUCUCUAAUAAAAGUUUUUAUAACUGACCCUCACAGUAAGUCAUGCCACAAAGCCUAUCCAUGCUGUUUUUACUGUUGUUCUUCAAUCGAAUGACAACUUAAGAUUGACCCUACAGAAUCUAAGAUCACAAUUAGAUCACUCUUUAUUUUAUUCUUGCCCCCUCCUCUUACCUAUAUCCCUUCCAUAUCUUCUUUUUAAUUCUCUUUUUCCCUCUGCUUCCUUAUGCACCAGGAACACAAUUGUGUUACUCAUUCACUCAAUGAAUAUUUAUUAAGCACUAUGUACCAGGUAUUGUGCUAGGCACCAGCAAUACAGGAGAGAGCAAAAAUUGAACAAGUUCCUGGCCUUACAGAGCUCACACACAGUCCAGGGGAGCCAGACGUUAAUAAUAGAAGCAUUUAUAGAAAUGUAAAAUUCUAAUAGGAGACCAUUUAAGAAAAAUCAGAGUAAGUUUCUCUGAGGAAAUGGACUGAGCUGAAAUUAAUGAGUUAAUGAGGUAGAUACGGAGAAGAAGGAAGAGCUUUCAAGGCAGAGGAAACAGCCCUUCCAAAGACGUGUGGCAUAACAGAGCUUGGCUUAUUAGAGGAACUUACAGAAUUACACUGGUCUUGCAGUUCAGAAAACAAAGGGGAGAGUGCUAAAUUGCUAAGGGGAGAGGCUGAAUUGCUAAGCAGGUACCACCUCUCUCCAUGGACUUGUGGGUCAGGUUAGAUUUUGGUCUGUAUCCUAAGGGCAAAAGAAAGCAUCACAGUGGGAAAGAUUAUGUUGCUUCCAAUGAGGAGAACUGGGAAAUGCUUUAGGUACAGCAUUUAAAAGGCCACUGCCACAGUCCAGGCAAUGGUAGCUUAGACCAGAGUGUUAAGAGUGGAGAUGAAAAGUGGAGGGAACCAAUAGGGAUUUUAGAAUUACAACUCAAAGAACAUGAUGAUGGAUUAUAUUUGGGAAGUAAGAGAGAGGACAAUUUCAAGGACGACUUUUAAAUAUCUGGCUUGUACAACUGAAUGCAUGGCAGUGCCAUUUUUUAAAGCAUAGGAACCACAGGAAGUGGAGCAGGUUUAGGAUUUAUAUACAAGUGAAGUCUGGUUUAAAUAUUUAUCCAGAGCUAUUUGAAAGGAAAAUUUACAUAAACCUAUUAUAAAUACUUUUGUGACUGCUAAAUAAAUGUUGUUACAAAAUAAAAUAAGUGGAAAAGAUACAUUUAAUCAGGAUAAGAAUAUAGACCCUGAGAGAGAUUUUACAAUAUAUUUAAUACUAUAUAUUGCUAUAGGCAAUUCUGUUUGCUACAAAAAUCUGUGCCAAAACUAUUUUAUGGAAGCAUUUCAUAUCUAACAGUCAAAAUGUUUUUGGGGGCCGGACAUGGUGGCACACACCUAUAAUCCCAGCACUUUGGAAGGACAAAGCGGGUGGAUCACUUGAGGUCAGGAGUUCAAGACCAGCCCGGCCAACAUGAUGAAACCCCAUCUCUACUAAAAAUACAAAACUUAGCCAGGCAUGGUCGUGGGUGCCUGUAAUCCCAGCUACUCGGUAGGCUGAGGCACAAGAAUCGCUUGAACCUGGGAGGCAGAAGCUGCAGUGAGCCAAAAUCGUGCCACUGCAAUCCAGCCUAGGUGACAGAGCAAAACGCCAUCUCAAAAAAAAAUGGUUUUCAGAGCAAGGUAAAAUUCAGUAAAAGGAAAGUAUAUAUGUAAUAAAAUACAAGUAGAAAAAAGUAAGUAAAGCCAAAGGGCUUUCAUUCUAGUGUAUUUAUACCAUUUCCUUGUAUUUAUAUGUAUUUCCUAUCAUGAUCUUGAUAUUGCACCACCUUAAAUUCCUUUUCAGUUUGGCCUGAAAUACUUUUCUUCCCUCCUUCCAGUGAGCCAUUUAACAAUAGUUUGUUAUUCUGCUAUAAUCCAUUUCCAUCUCAUGACCUUCUCAUUAACUUCAGACUAAGCCAUAAUAACAGUGCUUCAAUACAAGAAUAGAGCAACUGCCCUUCAAAGUCUCAUUUUUUGAAAUCCUGUGCUAUUAUAAAAUGCCAUAAUGACCUGAACAUAAAGCCAUGUCAAAUGCUUUAGCAAUGUAAAACUUGCUGUCUCAUUAAGAGUAUAGUCCUCCAUUGUUAAACAAGAAACCACCAGCUCUGUUGGCAUAAAGCCAAUCAAUAGAGAGUUUAGUUCUACAUGAGGCUGAGAAUUUUCUACAAGUGCAAUUAAUUUUAUUCAGUUGAUUUUUAUUCAGUUGUACAUUGAUUUUAUUCGUUAAGCAUCUUGUGACACUCUGAAAUCCCAGGGACAUUUAGUAGAUAUUUUAAUCAUACCACAUAUUGUAAAGUAUGGGACAUCCUGAAAGAUCUCUCUUAGGAAGAUAUUAGAAUAAUGGAAAGGGUAGGGAGGAAUGUGUGUGUUUUAUAGAAAAUUGCUAGAAAUGUACCAUGGUAGGCAAAAUAGUGGCUCCCUGAAGAUGUCUAUGUCCUAAUCCCUAGAACUUGUGAAUAUGUUACCUUAUAUGGCAAAAGGGACUUUGCAAAUGUAUUAAAGUAAGGAUAUUGGGAUAAGGAGAUAAUAAUGACUUAUCUGGAUAGGCCCAAUGUAAUCACAGGGGUUCUUUUAAGAGGAGGGCAAGGGGGUCAGAGAAGAGAAAGAGAUGUGAAGACCAAACCAGUGGUCACAGUGAUGAAGGGCCACCAGCAAAGGCAUGUCUGUUGCUUCUAGAGGCUGGAAAAGACAAAGAAACUAAUUUUUCCCUAGAGUCUACAGAAGGAACACAGCUCUACCAAUCCAAUUUGGACUUCAGACCUUCAGAGGUGCCAGGUAAUACAUUUGCUUUAUUUUAAGCCACUAAAUUUGUGGUUACUUAUUAUGGUAGCAAUAGGAAACUAAUACAGGUACCUCAACUGUUAGCCGUGGUUACUCCCUAGAGGUUUGGAAAUGAAGAUCAGAGUUGAAGAGGACUUUUAUUCUCCAUUGUUCAUGUUAUUUGAACUGUUAUCAUGGAUUUAUGUUGGUUUUAUUAUGGAUCUAUAUUGCUUCUUAAAUAAAAAUAAUUAAGAGCAGAAGUAGCUAAUAUUAAGUGAAAAGAUAGUGUAGAAAAUUGUAUAAAGGGUAAUUGUUCAACCAUGAAAAAAUAGAAAAAAAAUAAGAAGGAAACUUACUAAAAUGUUAUCCAGUUGUUUUUCCUGAGUAUUAAGAGUGUGCAUGUUCUAUUUUCAUUUAUCCUCUGAGUCACUCAAGUUAUUCAUUAAGCAUCUACUCUGUGUUAAAGAAUGUGCUAGGAACUGAGAAUGCAGUGGGGAAUAAGAGAGACACAAUUUCUGCCCUCAUGGAACAAGGCAGAUUAAACAGAUGAUCAGACAAAUUAUUAAUUAAUUAUAUUGUAAUAAGUUCAAUAUAGGCAAGAUACAGACUGAAAUCACCAUGCACUAGGGCAACAUAACGUAGUCAGGGAAUGCUUUCCUAAGGAAUUUCAGCUUGGAAUUAAAUGAGAAUUUUCCAGUCAGAGACAGGAAAUAAAAUUUUUUACAAAGAGGACAUACCCCCUUUUUAUCAGGAGAAAAAUGAACAUUUUAAAUUUUUUUUAAAAAGAAAUAGUUAACAUUUCUCUAUCCUUUUAUAUCUGGUAACAGCAGCUGCUCAGUGCUGGAAAUGGUCUGCUUUUUCUGCUUGAUUUAGCCAAAUUCAGUUUAAUGAUCAGACUUUUUUUUCUCUUGUUCAAGCACUUCAGGCAAAUGAAAUAUUUAAGUGAAUAAAUUGAGGCCACUAGACAAAAAAGUAAAAUAAUAAUGGUUAAAUAUCUUCCGUAUCCAGAGCUCACAUUAUUAAACUAUUAGAUCUAAUACUUUUUGGUUGUCAAUCUAUCAAAAAAAGCUUGUGAUAGGCCCUUAAUAUUGAUUGACCUUGACAGAAAUAAGACCCGGUGUCUUUGCCAGUUGAAGUUCUGUUUUUAUCCAACCAAAACUAAGAAACACAAAUGAAGAAGCAAAGAACAAGAAUUAUUUUGAAAUCGACAUAAAAUGUAUCACUAAUCGAAUUUUUCUCAAAAGAAUUUCAUAGAUGAAAUCUGUAUCACUGGGUACUAAAAAUUAAGAAUUUCAAAUUUCUCAACUUUAGAAUCUUCUCUUAUAAUUUCCAGAUGAGUAGUAAUUUUCCAGAUGAUGGUUUGGGAUUACUUUCAGCACAAGAGCAGGGAGAAUAACAUCUCUGUAAUGAAUAGGCACUAAUGAUUUCAUAGUUAAUGAUUAACAUCUCUGGAAAAAAAAACAAAAUAAAAAUAGAGAGCCUAUUAAUAAAUGUCAUGCCACCAAAAAUCACUACGUGAAAUUACGUUAAAUUUUUUUUGUUAAAAAUUUUAUUUACUUGAUCCUUUUUGUUUGUUGUUUGCUUGCUUUCCAGUAUACUUAUGUGUCUGUAACACUUAGAGCAGUAAUGUCCUUUAAUGAAAAUCAGAAUAAAUAUGACUAUGUUUAACAAAAAAUGUAUCAUAAUGUAGAAUUGACUUACAAUGACAAUGAUGUAAUGAGAAGUUAUGUACUGUAUAUGACAGAGAUUACUAGGUAAAUUGCAAAUAGAAGAUACUAUAAACAUAUCAUUGAGAAUGUCAUGAAAAUGGAAUGUUUGAAGUUCAGAUAUUCUUUCUACAAAUGCAAUAAAAUAUUUAGAAUUUUUAGUUGGUUGAAUAGUGUUCCCCCCAAGUUCAUGUACUCCCAGAACCUCAGAAUGUGAGCAAAUUUAGUAAUAGAGUCUUUGCAAAUAUAAUCAAGGUAAGGAUUAAUAUAAGAUCAUACUGAAUUAUAGUGGUCCCUAAAUCCAAUAUCUGGUGUCCUUAAUAAGAGGAGGAAAGGACACAGACAUAAACAGGAAAAAAAAAAAGGCCAUGUAAAGAUGGAGGAAAAUAUUACAGUGAUGCAACUACAACCAGAAUGCCAAGGAUUGCCAGAAGCCACAAGAAGCAGGAAAGAAGCAAAUAAGGAUAUCUUCCCUAGAGUCUUCAGAGAGCCCAUAGACCUGAAAACACCUUGAUUUCAAACUUGUAGCCUCCAGAACUGUGGGACAAUUAAUUUCUGUUGUUUUAAGCAAUCUAGUUUGCAAUAAUUUAUAUUGUAACACUAGGAAACUAAUACAGGAUUUAAUAUAGAUAGCCAUUUUCAUAAUCAAGUAUUUUUUAGAAUUAUGUUAUCUGCACUCAUUCUUCCUCUUUAACCUCUUUUAUGGUAGAAAGGGAGAUGGACAAAGAGAACAAUUUGUUUUGUGAUGUUUGUAACAGUUGUAUUUGUUCAACAAAAAUUUGAGCACUGAAUCAGUUAGGAUGAUUUUGCCCAUGAGUAACAGAACCCCUACUAAAAGUGACUUAAGAUAUAAGGUUAUUUAAUAAACUGACAAGACUAGCAGUCCACUGAAAGCUUGUUUCAAAGUAGGUGUGCAAACGCAAUGACUUCUUCAAUAGCCCUCCUGCUCUGCCACCUCAGUAUAUUGGCUUUGGGAUUCUGAUUUGUUUCUCAUGGUAGCAGAAUGUCUGCUGAAGCUCCAAAUAUUAUAUGCUUGUCUUUUAUCAAGGAACACAUUCUUAGUAGCCUCCUAGAAGACAGCUUCUAAUAUUUGAUUGUCCAGGGUUUGGUCACAUGCCCAUUUCCAGACCAAUCACUGACAAACAGUACAGGAUUGCUAGAAUUAGUCAAGAUCAAUCACUGUUUGUCCAAGAGGGCUGGUGAUGUUGCUUCAGAAAAGGAGUUUGGGUUCUUUGAGCAAGGAAGAAAGAAUUGCCAGGUUAAAAGAUAGGCAUAUUUAAUUUGAAUAGGUGGAGCCAGAUUGCUUUCUAAAAGCAAAUCUCCAUCUAAACUCCCACCAGAAGAGCAUGAGGAUUCCUAUAUCCCCACACUUGGCAUUUCUCUUUUUUGUUUUUUUCCCAUUCUAAUAGGGGAAAAGUGAUAGUUCAGAUACGCAUUUAUCUGAUUACUAAUACUUUUGAACAUGUUUUCAUAUGCUUGUUAACCUUUCAGAUUUCCUCUUUUGUUAAUUACCUGUUCAUACUGUUUACCCAUUUUUAAGUUGUGUUUUCUAUCCCUUUUUUGGUCUAUUUGCAGUGAUUCCUCACAUAGUCCAGAUAUUUAAUCUUUUGUUGGCUUUAUAUAUUUCAGAUAAGUUCUCCCCACUCUGUCCUGGUCUUUCAACUUUUUCUUUUCUUUUCUUUUCUUUUUUGGUUUCUUUUUGAGACAGAGUUUCACUCUUGUUGCCCAGGCUGGAGUGCAAUGGCACGAUCUCAGCUCACUGCAACCUCCGCCUCCCGGGUUCAAGCGAUUCUCCUGCCUCAGCCUCCCGAGUAGCUGGGAUUAUAGGCAUGUGCCACCACACCCGGCUAAUUGCUGUACUUUUAGUAGAGACAGGGUUUCUCCAUGUUGGUCAGGCUGGUCUUGAAUGCCCGACCUCAGGUGAUCCACCCACCUCGGCCUCCCAAAGUGCUGGGAUUACAGGCGUGAGCCAUGGAGCCCAGCCCUCAACUUUUUCUAUGUUACCCUUCAUUGACCAGAAAUCCUUAAUUUAAUAAAAUUGAAGUAUGCAUACCUCAUGGAGUUAUCGUUAACUUUAAAUAUGAAGAUGUACCUAAACCUCUUGGCCAUAGUCGUAAGUACAAAGUAAGAACUCAAUGAAUAAAUCUCAAAUAUUAUUAAUUGUUAUGGUUGUUAUUCAUUUGACCCUACCAAUUCCAAAAGGAUUGCAACUCUCUUUUGUUCCCAUAACGCCCUACAUGUAUUUCUAUUGUGGCAUCUAUUAUAUUAUCUCACAUGGUGGACAGAUUGAAUUAUUUCCAGCCAAAGACAUCAAAGGUCUUAUUCAUUUUGUAAUCUUGUAUUCCCACGAUCUAGGACAAUGCUAAAAGGUGCUUAAUAAAUAUUUGUUAAAUAAAUAUACACACAAAUGAGUUUUCAAAGAAAUUCAAUGAAUAAAGAAUACU